CUAUACGGAGUUACAAAGGACGACAUUAGACGAAUCAUCUGGAAAGAUGAAUCAAAGAAGGUAAUAAUCCUGUAGUCGAAAAUGUUGUCUCUCUUGAGUGGAUCCUGAGUACGACGGAGCACGUGAAAUUCCGUCGGAAUCUGGGAGGACCAUCUCCUAAGGCUAAAUACUCUCUAGUGACCGAUAGUGAACCAGUACCGUGAGGGAAAGGUGAAAAGCACCCCGGAAGGGGAGUGAAAUAGAACCUGAAACCGUGUGCUUACAAGUAGUCAGAGCCCGUUAAUGGGUGAUGGCGUGCCUUUUGUAGAAUGAACCGGCGAGUUACGAUUUGAUGCAAGGUUAAGCAGUAAAUGUGGAGCCGUAGCGAAAGCGAGUCUGAAUAGGGCGUUUAGUAUUUGGUCGUAGACCCGAAACCAGGUGAUCUACCCUUGGUCAGGUUGAAGUUCAGGUAACACUGAAUGGAGGACCGAACCGACUUACGUUGAAAAGUGAGCGGAUGAACUGAGGGUAGCGGAGAAAUUCCAAUCGAACCUGGAGAUAGCUGGUUCUCUCCGAAAUAGCUUUAGGGCUAGCCUCAAGUGAUGAUUAUUGGAGGUAGAGCACUGUUUGGACGAGGGGCCCCUCUCGGGUUACCGAAUUCAGACAAACUCCGAAUGCCAAUUAAUUUAACUUGGGAGUCAGAACAUGGGUGAUAAGGUCCGUGUUCGAAAGGGAAACAGCCCAGACCACCAGCUAAGGUCCCAAAAUAUAUGUUAAGUGGAAAAGGAUGUGGCGUUGCCCAGACAACUAGGAUGUUGGCUUAGAAGCAGCCAUCAUUUAAAGAGUGCGUAAUAGCUCACUAGUCGAGUGACACUGCGCCGAAAAUGUACCGGGGCUAAACAUAUUACCGAAGCUGUGGAUUGUCCUUUGGACAAUGGUAGGAGAGCGUUCUAAGGGCGUUGAAGCAUGAUCGUAAGGACAUGUGGAGCGCUUAGAAGUGAGAAUGCCGGUGUGAGUAGCGAAAGACGGGUGAGAAUCCCGUCCACCGAUUGACUAAGGUUUCCAGAGGAAGGCUCGUCCGCUCUGGGUUAGUCGGGUCCUAAGCUGAGGCCGACAGGCGUAGGCGAUGGAUAACAGGUUGAUAUUCCUGUACCACCUAUAAUCGUUUUAAUCGAUGGGGGGACGCAGUAGGAUAGGCGAAGCGUGCGAUUGGAUUGCACGUCUAAGCAGUAAGGCUGAGUAUUAGGCAAAUCCGGUACUCGUUAAGGCUGAGCUGUGAUGGGGAGAAGACAUUGNGUCUUCGAGUCGUUGAUUUCACACUGCCGAGAAAAGCCUCUAGAUAGAAAAUAGGUGCCCGUACCGCAAACCGACACAGGUAGUCAAGAUGAGAAUUCUAAGGUGAGCGAGCGAACUCUCGUUAAGGAACUCGGCAAAAUGACCCCGUAACUUCGGGAGAAGGGGUGCUCUUUAGGGUUAACGCCCAGAAGAGCCGCAGUGAAUAGGCCCAAGCGACUGUUUAUCAAAAACACAGGUCUCUGCUAAACCGUAAGGUGAUGUAUAGGGGCUGACGCCUGCCCGGUGCUGGAAGGUUAAGAGGAGUGGUUAGCUUCUGCGAAGCUACGAAUCGAAGCCCCAGUAAACGGCGGCCGUAACUAUAACGGUCCUAAGGUAGCGAAAUUCCUUGUCGGGUAAGUUCCGACCCGCACGAAAGGCGUAACGAUUUGGGCACUGUCUCAACGAGAGACUCGGUGAAAUCAUAGUACCUGUGAAGAUGCAGGUUACCCGCGACAGGACGGAAAGACCCCGUGGAGCUUUACUGUAGCCUGAUAUUGAAAUUCGGCACAGCUUGUACAGGAUAGGUAGGAGCCUUUGAAACGUGAGCGCUAGCUUACGUGGAGGCGCUGGUGGGAUACUACCCUAGCUGUGUUGGCUUUCUAACCCGCACCACUUAUCGUGGUGGGAGACAGUGUCANGCGGGCAGUUUGACUGGGGCGGUCGCCUCCUAAAAGGUAACGGAGGCGCUCAAAGGUUCCCUCAGAAUGGUUGGAAAUCAUUCAUAGAGUGUAAAGGCAUAAGGGAGCUUGACUGCGAGACCUACAAGUCGAGCAGGGUCGAAAGACGGACUUAGUGAUCCGGUGGUUCCGCAUGGAAGGGCCAUCGCUCAACGGAUAAAAGCUACCCCGGGGAUAACAGGCUUAUCUCCCCCAAGAGUUCACAUCGACGGGGAGGUUUGGCACCUCGAUGUCGGCUCAUCGCAUCCUGGGGCUGUAGUCGGUCCCAAGGGUUGGGCUGUUCGCCCAUUAAAGCGGUACGCGAGCUGGGUUCAGAACGUCGUGAGACAGUUCGGUCCCUAUCCGUCGUGGGCGUAGGAAAUUUGAGAGGAGCUGUCCUUAGUACGAGAGGACCGGGAUGGACAUACCUCUGGUGUACCAGUUGUCGUGCCAACGGCAUAGCUGGGUAGCUAUGUGUGGACGGGAUAAGUGCUGAAAGCAUCUAAGCAUGAAGCCCCCCUCAAGAUGAGAUUUCCCAACUUCGGUUAUAAGAUCCCUCAAAGAUGAUGAGGUUAAUAGGUUCGAGGUGGAAGCAUGGUGACAUGUGGAGCUGACGAAUACUAAUCGAUCGAAGACUUAAUCAA
rnacentral:rRNA from 1 species